UACGAAGGGGCUAGCGUUGCUCGGAAUCACUGGGCGUAAAGCGCACGUAGGCGGCUUUCUAAGUCAGGGGUGAAAUCCUGGAGCUCAACUCCAGAACUGCCUUUGAUACUGGAGAGCUUGAGUCCGGAAGAGGUGAGUGGAACUCCGAGUGUAGAGGUGAAAUUCGUAGAUAUUCGGAAGAACACCAGUGGCGAAGGCGGCUCACUGGUCCGGUACUGACGCUGAUGUGCGAAAGCGUGGGGAGCAAACAGG
rnacentral:rRNA from 1 species